GACAGGGUGAAAGUCCCUGUACCGUCAAUUACCUGUAUUCGGACGGUUAGCAUAUCCGGUGCGUGUGGAGGCAACAAAGCACGAUAGGCCCGGACGUAAAAUCCCCGGCUGCCCUGCAGCAGUAUCGCAGCGGUAGGAACGAUCUGGGGGGAGAGCAAACUUGGAGGCCGGAACAUUA
rfam:Bradyrhizobium erythrophlei strain GAS478 genome assembly, contig: Ga0132009_11